GUCUCUCUCCUGCUGACUUCCUGUCUCCUGGGGAUUAGGUUAGGAGUGGGGGAGCUCUCUCUCUCUCGCGCUGUCCACAUAGAUAGAUAAUCUCAUUUAUACUCGCCAGGGGGAGGGACCUUAAUGAAGCACCAGAACAAUGUCAUGAUAUAAUAGGGUCAUGCUGUUGAGAGGUGAUUAUGAGGUGAAUAUACAGACAUGUAAAUGAUAAUAUCUGACUGCACAAUGGAUCUCUCCAACUGGGACAAGAAGAUGUUGAAUUAAUUUGCUUUGAAAGAGAAACUCAUGAGCAUGUAAUGUUACCAUUAUGUAACUUAGCCUGCACUCUGUUACAUUAGAUGUACUGUGUAGCGUGUUUAAUUGUUCCUGAUAGUCAGUAAUACAGUACUACAGCAUCUGUGUCCACCAGUGGGAUAUUUACACAGGGUCUACUGCCUAUGUGUGGUGUUGUGACUGUUUGGCUGUGUUUCUAGGGACAGAACGGGACAGGAGGGGCGGUUUGGGAUUAGUAGGAUCUGAGCUAAACGGAUAACGGGCCAUGACACCACUUGUCGUUAGUAGUUAGACUUAGGAUCAGGGGUUUCUAAAGUUCACACAAACAUUUUAUCUGACCCAAAAAUAUUUUUUGUUCUUGUGUAAAUUACAUCAAUUCAAAGCUGUACUGUACAUUACAAUAUGAUGUAAUAUGCUUGGUGACUUUUUUUUUUCCAGGUUCCACCAGCUAGAGGUGGAAGGUGUUGAUGGAAGUCCAUCCAUGUGCGUAAUGUGUCCAUUUUCAUUGGAAUUAGGUUCAUAACUAUCAUCACUGGAUUUCUGAUUACCUCUGAGAAUAACACUGCAACUAAAGCAGUUGCAUCAAAUUCAUUACGCAGAUGAAAAAGUAGUCCAUCUUGAUUUCCAGUGAUUAAGUAUAUAAGAGCCUGACGGAAGUCUAGUGACUUUGAUACCAGAUUAUCUAAUUGAGCAUAUGAGAGAAAUUCUGUCUUGCCCAUUUUAUUCUUGCAAAAAGACACUUUUAGACUUCCUGUUUUAAUAGCAGACGCAAUAUUGGGAUCCAUAAUUCUGUACAAAGGUUUAAUAUAGAGGUUUUCCAUAUUAACUGAAGAAAUAUAAAUCCCAGAAAUUAUGUAAAUGUUGUCCAUUUCAUUUUUUGAUCUAUUGUAAUGCAACAAGUAAUAAAUUACACUAAGAUAAUCGUAAAAACUUUUGAUGUAAAUUACAAUAGAUGCUUUGGAUGGUACAUCCAUUGAAUCAUUUACUAACAAAAUUUUUUUAUAAAAAAUACAAUCUCCAAAAUUAAAAUGUUGCUUUACUCGAUAAAUCAUUUUACUGAUAACCUUUAAGCAUUUCAAUUUUCUGGGAACAUUUUUUAAAUUAUUUUGAGUUGAAAUUUUAAUCUUCAAAUUUGUUUUUUUUGUAACUUUUAUGCCAAUAAAUGCGUUUUCAUUUUCUUUGUACUGAAACACAAAAAAUAAAUGGAACAGAAUUAGAUUAACCUUGUUACAUUAAACUAACUUGAAGAUAAAGGGAGUGGCAUGUUUUUCAAGCUUUCCAUACAGUCAUAUGUUGACAAACACUAUAUGUGAUCUUUUGAUAAACAGAUAAACAAACUCUUUUGAUAAACAGACUAUUGGAAUU
rnacentral:lncRNA from 8 species